AGAGUUUGAUCAUGGCUCAGGAUAAACGCUGGCAGCGUGCCUUAUGCAUGCAAGUCGUACGGUCUCGAUUUAUCGGGAUAGUGGCGAACGGGUGAGUAACACGUAAGUGACCUACCCUUAAGUAGGGGAUAACUCUGAGAAAUUGGAGCUAAUACCGUAUGUGGUGGUGGGAGUAAAGCUUCAUCACUAAAGCCCUCGGGCGCUUAGGGACGGGCUUGCGGCCGAUUAGCUAGUUGGUAGGGUAAGGGCUUACCAAGGCUGUGAUCGGCAGCUGGUUUGAGAGGAUGGUCAGCCACACUGGGAUUGAGAUACGGCCCAGACUCCUACGGGAGGCAGCAGCAAGGAAUUUUGUGCAAUGGGCGAAAGCCUGACACAGCGACGCUGCGUGGGGGAUGAAGGCCUUCGGGUCGUAAACCCCUUUUCUCAGGGAAGAAAAAUGACGGUACCUGAGGAAUAAGUCACGGCUAACUACGUGCCAGCAGCCGCGGUAAUACGUAGGUGGCAAGCGUUAUCCGGAUUUACUGGGCGUAAAGAGGGCGUAGGCGGUUUGACAAGUCGGAUGUAAAAUCUCCCAGCUUAACUGGGAGGGAUCGUUCGAUACUGUUGGGCUAGAGGGCAGCAAGGGGAGAUGGAAUUCCCGGUGUAGUGGUGAAAUGCGUAGAUAUCGGGAGGAACACCAGUGGCGAAGGCGGUCUCCUGGGCUGUUUCUGACGCUGAAGCCCGAAAGCGUGGGGAGCAAACAGGAUUAGAUACCCUGAUAGUCCACGCUGUAAACGAUGGACACUAGGUAUGGGGAGUAUCGACCCUCUCUGUGCCGAAGCUAACGCGUUAAGUGUCCCGCCUGGGGUUUACGGCCGCAAGGCUAAAACUCAAAUGAAUUGACGG
rnacentral:rRNA from 1 species